AUGCUGCGCCUCAUCAAUGCCGCGCUCGACGACGAGUUCUUCUUCUCCGUCCCCAAUCACACACUAACCAUCGUCGAGGUCGAUGCCGUUUAUGUCAAGCCUUUCACAGUCAAGACUCUGAUCAUCUCACCGGGCCAGACCGCCAAUGUCCUCCUCACCACCAAGCCGUUGUACCCUAAGGCCAACUUCUACACGUACCAAAAUCCUAGGGACCCCCUAAGGCCUAGCACCAUCAACAACACCACCGCUGCUGGUAUUCUCGAGUACCAGAAUCCGGGCUCCCCCUCCGCGCCAAGCUCUGACGAAGACUUGCCACUGUUCAAGCCGACGCUCCCGCGGUUCAACGACACCGGCUUUGUCGCCAACUUCGCCUCCAAGCUCCGCAGCCUUGCCACGCCGCAGUACCCGGCGGCCGUGCCACGGUCGGUUGACCAGAAGUUCUUCUUCACGGUCGGCAUGGGCACGUUCCCGUGCCCCAUGGACACGGCGUGCCAAGGGCCCAUCAACGAAACGCGGUUCGUGGCAGCCGUGAACAACGUCUCCUUCGUGCUCCCUUCCAUGGCGCUCCUUCAGUCGCACUACUUUGCCGGUAUGUCGCAGGGCGUCUAUGGGCCCGACUUUCCGGCCAUUCGACGCUCGACGCUCGCGAUGCGCUCUUCUUCUCCCCCUCCAAAGCCCCGCGCGCGCCGGCGCCGGCGACCCACACCCAUGGACGCACGCGUCGGCACCCCGCUCACCCCAUCCUAUAGCCGCGACCCCCCGCCGCCGCCGCCACAAACCCUAGCCCGGGUGGCGUUGGCCUCGCCUCCGCCGGAGCUCCUCCGACCAGCGGCCUCGCGCGCGGCCUCUUCAUGUCGCCGUGGAUGA
rnacentral:rRNA from 1 species